rnacentral:rRNA from 1 species
AAUCAACGCUGGCGGCGUGCCUCAGACAUGCAAGUCGAACGAUUAAAGCUCUCUUCGGAGAGUGCAUAGAGUGGCGCACGGGUGAGUAACACGUAAGUAAUCUACCCUCGAGUGGGGAAUAACGUCCGGAAACGGACGCUAAUACCGCAUAAUGCAGCGGCACCGCAAGGUGACAGUUGUUAAAGAUUUAUCGCUUGAGGAGGAGCUUGCGGCAGAUUAGCUAGUUGGUAAGGUAAUGGCUUACCAAGGCUACGAUCUGUAACCGGUCUUAGAGGACGGUCGGUCACACUGACACUGAAUAACGGGUCAGACUCCUACGGGAGGCAGCAGUCGGGAAUUUUGGGCAAUGGGCGAAAGCCUGACCCAGCAACGCCGCGUGAAGGAUGAAGUAUUCGGUAUGUAAACUUCGAAAGAAUAGGAAGAAUAAAUGACGGUACUAUUUAUAAGGUCCGGCUAACUACGUGCCAGCAGCCGCCGUAAG